rnacentral:rRNA from 1 species
GUAGCUGUUGUUCUGCCAAGAGCAUCGCAGCGUAGCUAAGUUUGGAAAGGAUAAACGCUGAAAGCAUCUAAGCGUGAAGCCAACUCUAAGAUGAAUCUUCUCUAAGCUCUCUAGAAGACUACUAGUUUGAUAGGCUGGGUGUGUAAUGGAUGAAAGUCCUUUAGCUGACCAGUACUAAUAGAGCGUUUGGCUUAUCUUU